rnacentral:rRNA from 1 species
CCGUACCCAUCAGAGGGGGAUAACACUUGGAAACAGGUGCUAAUACCGCAUAACAGUUUAUGCCGCAUGGCAUAAGAGUGAAAGGCGCUUUCGGGUGUCGCUGAUGGAUGGACCCGCGGUGCAUUAGCUAGUUGGUGAGGUAACGGCUCACCAAGCCACGAUGCAUAGCCGACCUGAGAGGGUGAUCGGCCACACUGGGACUGAGACACGGCCCAG